rnacentral:rRNA from 1 species
AACGAACGCUGGCGGCAGGCUUAACACAUGCAAGUCGAGCGCCCCGCAAGGGGAGCGGCAGACGGGUGAGUAACGCGUGGGAAUCUACCCAUCUCUACGGAAUAACGCAUGGAAACGGGUGCUAAUACCGUAUACGUCCUUCGGGAGAAAGAUUUAUCGGAGAUGGAUGAGCCCGCGUUGGAUUAGCUAGUUGGUGGGGUAAAGGCCUACCAAGGCGACGGUCCAUUGCUGGUCGGAGAGGAUGAUCAGCCACACUGGGACUGAGACACGGCCCAGACUCCUACGGGAGGCAGCAGUGGGGAAUAUUGGACAAUGGGCGCAAACCUGAUCCAGCCAUGCCGCGUGAGUGAUGAAGGCCCUAGGGUUGUAAAGCUCUUUCACCGGUGAAGAUAAUGACGGUAACCGGAGAAGAAGCCCCGGCUAACUUCGUGCCAGCCGCCGCGGUAACAC